rnacentral:rRNA from 1 species
CCUACGGGCGGCUGCAGUGGGGAAUAUUGCACAAUGGGGGAAACCCUGAUGCAGCGACGCCGCGUGAGUGAAGAAGUAUUUCGGUAUGUAAAGCUCUAUCAGCAGGGAAGAAAGAGCGACCGGUGGGUCGCCAGACGGUACCGGAUGAAGAAGCCCCGGCGAACUACGUGCCAGCAGCCGCGGUAAUACGUAGGGGGCAAGCGUUAUCCGGAUUUACGGGGUGGCAAGGGAGCGUAGACGGCAGCGCAAGUCUGAAGUGAAAUGCCGGGGCGUAACCCCGGAACUGCUUUGGAAACUGUGCAGCUAGCGUGCCGGUGAGGUAAGUGGCAUUCCUUGUGUAGCGGU